rnacentral:rRNA from 1 species
AACGAACGCUGGCGGCGUGCUUAACACAUGCAAGUCGAACGAUUAAAGCCCCUUCGGGGGUGUAUAGAGUGGCGAACGGGUGAGUAACACGUGGGCAAUCUGCCCCUCACACCGGGAUAACUCAGGGAAACUUGAGCUAAUACCGGAUACUCCGGGACGGUCGCAUGGCUGACCCGGGAAAGCUCCGACGGUGAGGGAUGAGCCCGCGGCCCAUUAGCUUGUUGGUGAGGUAACGGCUCACCAAGGCGACGAUGGGUAGCCGAGCUGAGAGGCUGAUCGGCCACACUGGGACUGAGACACGGCCCAGACUCCUACGGGAGGCAGCAGUCGGGAAUUUUGGGCAAUGGGCGAAAGCCUGACCCAGCAACGCCGCGUGAAGGAUGAAGUAUUUCGGUAUGUAAACUUCGAAAGAAUGGGAAGAACUCAAUGACGGUACCAUUUAUAAGCUCCGGCUAACUACGUGCCAGCAGCCGCCGUAAAAC